UUAGUUGCCAGUGCGACACCCGUUCCCACACAACGGGCAUGGGUGCAACUCCCCCGUCCCACUCUGGACGGUCACCAGGACCA
rfam:Kennedya yellow mosaic virus 3' terminal tRNA-like structure.